AAUAUUGCACAAUGGGGGAAACCCUGAUGCAGCGACGCCGCGUGAGUGAAGAAGUAUUNCGGUACNUNAAGCUCUAUCAGCAGGGNGGAUAAUGACGGUACCUGACUAAGAAGCCCCGGCUUACUACGUUCCAGCAGCCGCGGUAAUACGUAGGGGGCAAGCGUUAUCCGGAUUUACUGAGUGUAAAGGGAGCGUAGACGGUGAUGUAAGUCAGAUGUGCAAGCCCAGGGCUCGACCCUGGGACUGCAUUUGAAACUAUGUUGCUAGAGUGCAGGAGAGGUAAGUCGGAUUCCUAGUGUAGCGGUGAAAUGCGUAGAUAUUAGGAGGAACACCCGUGGCGAAGGCGGCUUACUGGACUGUAACUGACGUUGAGGCUCGAAAGCGUGGGGAGCAAACAG
rnacentral:rRNA from 1 species